CAAUAUCGAUCGUCAUCCUCGAUUGUUCCUUCACCUUCCUCCCUUUUAUCUUCUUCCAUUCGAUGUUGUGAAAAAAAGCUUCUUCACCAUUCCUUUCAUAUGAUUUUCCUGGCAUCUGAACCGAAAUUCCACAUCUUCAUCUGAUUUUUUUGGUGUAGAUCUUCAUCUGAUAUCGUCCAUCCUAUUUUCUUCACCUUCCUUCUCCACAUCGGAUAGCAUUUAUCCGAUUUUUUUCAUUCCUUUUCAUUUGUUAUCUUCCAUUCAAGAUCUUAAAAUUUGGCCCUCCAAUGGUCAUCACCGGCAUCGACGCGGUUAACGGUGGAGUUUACCGGAGGAAUUCCACGCCUAUCGUGGAUUUGGACUCGAGGCUAAACUCGUUUCUGGUGAACCUAGAGAGAAGAUUAGAUUUCCCGAUGCCGGUGUCACCGAUCAACACCACCUUGAAGAGGUAAUCGUAAUCGUCAUCCAUCUCUGAUUGCUGCGAUUAGGUGGGGAAUUUCUCGAAGAUGAUUUAUGAUUUAAUUUUCGGCGCUUGUUUAACCUUCGGUGGUUGAACUAUAUAUGGUGAAAUUGGUUCCGACACUGUAGACGAAGAAUUAAGGCAUCGUAAUCUUAAUUGUCCAAAUGAUAUGUUGAUGCCUCUAUUGGUCUUGUUAAAACAAAGAAAACGGAUUGCUCUAUAUAUUCAAACAAAGGAGUUUUGUUCAAUUUUGUAAUAAUGACGCAGAACAACUAUCUUCUACCAUGUCCAUUUGCACUAUCUAAGUGUGUGACUCAAGGUAUGGUAAUCAAUGAGACAUAGAUGCAACAGGUAUGUGAAGGCAAUCCGUAGAAUUUCAAUUCAAAGACUCGGUGAUUGUCCCAUGACUCAAUUUUGAAUCCCAAAUCAAAUUUGUGUGCAACAAGUUUCAUUACAAAAAGGUUUCAUCUCUACAAAAUUAACUAUUUUAUUUGUUAGGUAAAAGGUUGAGAUAUUAACUUAUUUUGUCUGUAAGAUAAAAAAGUUGAGAUAUGAAAUUUAGAAAACAACAAACACAUAAUAAUAGGAUCGUUUUCACUAACGAGCAUACAAGUUCAUUACAAGCGAAUAAAUGGUACAUUGUUAUGCAUAGUUAUAUAUCACUCAUUAAAUCAAACACAUAAUACUCGGAUCAUACUAUGGGUCAUGUACACAUGAAUAUAAGGGGAGAUGCAACUUCGAUGCAAUGCUCCAUGAUGACAGCGGUGCUCACCCGGUCGGUGGAGGCCCUAUCUCCCAUGGAUAUUGGCGAAAGCACACAUGUCACUACGAGAAUUCGGUUCAGGAGUAUCUCUAUAACCCACAGCCGGCCAACCAAAGGUGGGCGGUCAGUAUAAGUAGCUGAAAGAUCAAGAUAGUCACAGUACUACGAUGUGGUGAUUCUAAUAAGGACAUGUUGUCCUAAUAGCUAGAUUUUACGGUUUUUGAAUUUACAUUUAAAUUGGCUACCUUAUGUCGUUGAUCCCAUUGCCGUUUGUCUGUGGACAGGAGAGAAAUGAUUGAGGUUCUUGUAUACAAGGACCUGCGAUCCAUACAGCUUCGCUUGUGAUGACUGUACCUCCAAUUGGACACUUGCACGACCUAUGGUUCGUUUAAGAAGAAUGAAGUGGGGAUUUUUUCAAAAACAUUCAACUAAUUCAGUCACUUUUAUAAUUUUAUUUUCUCUUUUGGGUCGGCCUCCAUCCUCCUUUGACAUCUGACCUCCUUUUUAUGUCGGCUUCGGUAGUUUCUUCUACGGCUGGGUGAUGGCAAAAGAUUUGUAAUUGGUAUGGAGGAAUAAAUUAAGUUCAACUUUCAGGAAAGAAAUCAGAAAGAGUUUGAUGAUAU
rnacentral:lncRNA from 1 species